rnacentral:tRNA from 1 species
GACUCGGUAGCUAAGUGGUAUAGCGUGGGAUUGCAGUCAAAGCUUGUAUCCUAAGGUCUCGUGUUCGAUCCACGAUCGGGUCU